rfam:Triticum aestivum genome assembly, contig: Triticum_aestivum_CS42_TGACv1_scaffold_291033_4AL
CAUGUACUCCCUCCGUUCAGAAAUACUUGUCGGAGAAAUGCAUAAAAAUAAAUGUAUCUAGAAUCAAAAUAUGUCUAGAUACAUCCGUUCCUUCGACAAGUAUUUCCGGACGAAGGGAGUAUAAG